rnacentral:rRNA from 1 species
UUCGCCCUUAGAGUUUGAUCCUGGCUCAGGACGAACGCUGGCGGCGCGCCUAACACAUGCAAGUCGAACGAGCGAGAGAGAGCUUGCUUUCUCAAGCGAGUGGCGAACGGGUGAGUAACGCGUGAGGAACCUGCCUCAAAGAGGGGGACAACAGUUGGAAACGACUGCUAAUACCGCAUAAGCCCACAGCUCGGCAUCGAGCAGAGGGAAAAGGAGCAAUCCGCUUUGAGAUGGCCUCGCGUCCGAUUAGCUAGUUGGUGAGGUAAUGGCCCACCAAGGCAACGAUCGGUAGCCGGACUGAGAGGUUGAACGGCCACAUUGGGACUGAGACACGGCUCAGACUCCUACGGGAGGCAGCAGUGGGGAAUAUUGCACAAUGGGGGAAACCCUGAUGCAGCGACGCCGCGUGGAGGAAGAAGGUCUUCGGAUUGUAAACUCCUGUUGUUGAGGAAGAUAAUGACGGUACUCAACAAGGAAGUGACGGCUAACUACGUGCCAGCAGCCGCGGUAAAACGUAGGUCACAAGCGUUGUCCGGAAUUACUGGGUGUAAAGGGAGCGCAGGCGGGAAGACAAGUUGGAAGUGAAAUCUAUGGGCUCAACCCAUAAACUGCUUUCAAAACUGUUUUUCUUGAGUAGUGCAGAGGUAGGCGGAAUUCCCGGUGUAGCGGUGGAAUGCGUAGAUAUCGGGAGGAACACCAGUGGCGAAGGCGGCCUACUGGGCACCAACUGACGCUGAGGCUCGAAAGUGUGGGUAGCAAACAGGAUUAGAUACCCUGGUAGUCCACACCGUAAACGAUGAUUACUAGGUGUUGGAGGAUUGACCCCUUCAAUGCCGCAGUUAACACAAUAAGUAAUCCACCUGGGGAGUACGACCGCAAGGUUGAAACUCAAAGGAAUUGACGGGGGCCCGCACAAGCAGUGGAGUAUGUGGUUUAAUUCGACGCAACGCGAAGAACCUUACCAAGUCUUGACAUCCUGCGACGAUGCUGGAAACAGUAUUUUCCUUCGGGACGCAGAGACAGGUGGUGCAUGGUUGUCGUCAGCUCGUGUCGUGAGAUGUUGGGUUAAGUCCCGCAACGAGCGCAACCCUUACUGUCAGUUACUACGCAAGAGGACUCUGGCAGGACUGCCGUUGACAAAACGGAGGAAGGUGGGGAUGACGUCAAAUCAUCAUGCCCUUUAUGACUUGGGCUACACACGUACUACAAUGGCGUUAAACAAAGAGAAGCAAGACCGCGAGGUGGAGCAAAACUCAGAAACAACGUCCCAGUUCGGACUGCAGGCUGCAACUCGCCUGCACGAAGUCGGAAUUGCUAGUAAUCGUGGAUCAGCAUGCCACGGUGAAUACGUUCCCGGGCCUUGCACUCACCGCCCGUCA